rnacentral:rRNA from 1 species
UACAGAGGGGGCAAGCGUUAUUCGGAAUUAUUGGGCGUAAAGGGCGCGUAGGCGGCUUUGCAAGUGGCGGGUGAAAUCCCUCGGCUUAACCGAGGAACUGCCUGCCAGACUGCAUGGCUUGAGACCGGGAGAGGUGAGUGGAAUUCCCAGUGUAGCGGUGAAAUGCGUAGAUAUUGGGAGGAACACCAGUGGCGAAGGCGGCUCACUGGACCGGUACUGACGCUGAGGCGCGAAAGCGUGGGGAGCAAACAGG